rnacentral:rRNA from 1 species
AUUGAACGCUGGCGGCAUGCUUUACACAUGCAAGUCGAACGGUAACAGGCCGCAAGGUGCUGACGAGUGGCGAACGGGUGAGUAAUGCAUCGGAACGUGCCCAGUCGUGGGGGAUAACUACUCGAAAGAGUAGCUAAUACCGCAUACGAUCUAUGGAUGAAAGCGGGGGACCGUAAGGCCUCGCGCGAUUGGAGCGGCCGAUGUCAGAUUAGGUAGUUGGUGGGGUAAAGGCUCACCAAGCCAACGAUCUGUAGCUGGUCUGAGAGGACGACCAGCCACACUGGGACUGAGACACGGCCCAGACUCCUACGGGAGGCAGCAGUGGGGAAUUUUGGACAAUGGGCGCAAGCCUGAUACAGCAAUGCCGCGUGCAGGAAGAAGGCCUUCGGGUUGUAAACUGCUUUUGUACGGAACGAAACGGCUCUGGUUAAUACCCGGGGCUAAUGACGGUACCGUAAGAAUAAGCACCGGCUAACUACGUG